GCGCCUGUAGCUCAGUGGAUCAGAGCAUCUGACUACGGAUCAGAAGGUCGGGGGUUCGAAUCCUCUCGGGCGCU
rnacentral:tRNA from 1 species